rnacentral:rRNA from 1 species
AUGUCUAACACACACACACACAAGAAGGAGAAGGAGGAGAAGAAGAUGAUGAAGCUAAUGGAGCUUCUGAAAAAUGGGGUCCAGCGCUCCAGUCAGCUAGCUGGCCAUGCGGAACAAGUCGAGCAACUUGAGGUCGCUCUCGCCGCCGUCCGUCGCCGCGAGGGACCUCGCCGCCUUCUCCGCGACGGCGGCCCGCACCUGCGCCAUGGUCGGCCGGAGCCCCGGCUGCGGCGCCACGCACUCCACGGCGACCCGCGCGACGUCGCCGGCCUCCACAGCAUCAUAGUCGCCGCCCAGCCUGCCGUCCACGAGCCCCGCCGCCCCGGCUGCCCUCAAGCGCGGCAUCACCCUCGCCGCGAGGUACUGGCUGCUGCCGUCCGGGCCCGGCGUGCCGGCGGCCGGCGAGCCGGUGAGGGCCUCGAGGAGCAGCACGCCGAAGCCGUACACGUCGGACUUCUUGGACACGAUGCCGGUGCGGAGGAAGAAGGGGUCGGCGUAGCCCGGCGAGCCGACGGCCGCCGCGCCCCGGGCCGGCGCCACGGCCGCCGAGAAGGUGCCCUCGCAGGCCGACCCCAGGUCGCAGAGCCGCGCGCGGCCGCCGCCGUCGAGGAGCACGUUGGAGGCCGACACGUCGCCGUGCACGACGGAGAUGGCGUCGUGGAGGUGCUCCAGCGCGGCGGCCACGUCGUGGAGCACGCGCAUGCGGUGGCGCCAGGUGAGCGGCGGCGUGGCGGCGUGGUGGAGACGGUCCGCCAGCGUGCCGCCCGGCAUGUACUCCAGCACCAGCGCGCCUCCCUCCUCUGCGAGAAGGACAACAAAUUCAGCCAUUUAACCAGUGAAUAA